rnacentral:rRNA from 1 species
GAGCGAACGCUGGCGGCAGGCUUAACACAUGCAAGUCGAGCGGGCACUUUCGGGUGUCAGCGGCGGACGGGUGAGUAACGCGUGGGAACGUGCCCUCUGGUUCGGAAUAACUCAGGGAAACUUGAGCUAAUACCGGAUACGCCCUUUUGGGGAAAGGCUUGCUGCCGGAGGAUCGGCCCGCGUCUGAUUAGCUAGUUGGUGAGGUAACGGCUCACCAAGGCGACGAUCAGUAGCUGGUCUGAGAGGAUGAUCAGCCACACUGGGACUGAGACACGGCCCAGACUCCUACGGGAGGCAGCAGUGGGGAAUAUUGGACAAUGGGCGCAAGCCUGAUCCAGCCAUGCCGCGUGAGUGAUGAAGGCCUUAGGGUUGUAAAGCUCUUUUAUCCGGGACGAUAAUGACGGUACCGGAGGAAUAAGCCCCGGCUAACUUCGUG